AUUGGAUGCUAACCUGAGUUCUAACAUUUCUAUCGGCUUCAGUUUCUACAUUUCCUGCUUUCUCUUUUGUUGCUGGUGGGCUUCUAGUGUUGUUUUGCAGAGCUCAAGGAGCUGGAUGUGAAUUGUAAGGUUUUGGCAAAGGCGCUGGGUGCAGUGUCUCAUCUUUCCUCUGCUUGCAAUGAAUCCUAUGACUGCACAGACAUGUCACUGUUGCUUCCCCAGGCACUCUCUCUGGAGACCUCUCUUAGUAGGAUCAGUGACCUCGAUGGUCUGAAAAUUUUUGGUCAAGUUCGGGGUCAGGACAUUGCUGAAGGAGCUACUACACUAAGGGAUAAAGAGGAAUAGAUGAGGAUUGCUUUUAGGUUAACAUGAAUUUUGUCGUAUGACAAGUUUGUACAAUUCUGUAUUUUAUUAUAAGAAUUCUAGGUGGCCCAAGAGCCAGGAAAUUGGAUAGGAGGUUGGGUAUUUUCAGAUCAAUGUCAGUAGACAUCUAAGUGGCUGAAGGGAGUUUAAGGUGGUAGAGGAGGCAGCUUUCAGGUAGGUAACCUCGAUUUAGGGCCCAACAAAGUCACGAGGCUAAUAGUUUGGCUGAGCUGGGAGGGGUUGAGUGAUAGGUAAGGACAGAGUUUCUUCUUGUUGGUCAACACUGGGAGGGGGAAAGAGAGAGAGAGAGGAGAGGGAGAGCAGCUGGGCAUGCAAGAGAAAGAGAAAAGAGAGAGUGAUUCGAAAAUAUCAUAAAAUCAAGACAAUAAUUAAGUCACUUUUUGGUGUUCUCUUUUUUAGUCUAAAUUAUCUCCAGUGUCUUUUAACCUUUGUUCAAGGAAUCUAGCUUCUUCUUAAUCAUUUUUGUCACUCUUCUCUGCAUUCUCUCCAGGUUUCCCCGUAAGUUCAGAAGUGUUAUCUCAUUUCUUUCCACAGCAUACCCAUGAGGUAACUAGGGUCAUUGCUAAGCUCGCAUGUACAGAUUGGAUGAAAGUAAGGCACAUGAUUUUGAGAGGAAGGAAAAUCUGAUCUUGUCACAGCUCUGCCUAAAAUUCUUCAAAGAGGAGAAGAGGAAAAGAGUUGCUGCCCUGUGUCAGGUCAUGGUCUACAAGAUGGGUCACCAUAACUGAGUGACAGCUGGGGAAGGAUGUCGUGGUGCAGUGAGAGGAGAAUAGGAGGGUUCAUUCAAAGGCUCACAAUGGUGAAGUUGCACCAGGAUAUUGCAGUGAACCAUGAAGGCUGGUGGGGCAGAGGAGCUCCGAUUAUAUCCUGAGAAGAGACAACAUUGUGGAAACAUGUCCAUAUGCCUACUUGGAAGGAAGCAAUGGUCACUUAGUAUGGUAUGGCUCUUGGUAUCUUUUUGAGAGAAUUAUUACAUAUUCAAAAUGAAUAAUGAAUUUUUUAAGGGAAUAGAAUUAGGAAACAUUACAAAUCUCAGCCGCAUAAAUUGUAAAUAAACAAAGAUCCCAAUGUCA
rnacentral:lncRNA from 13 species